GAGGGUAUAGCUCAAGUGGUAGAGCGUGUGCUUAGCAUGCACGAGGUCCUGGGUUCAAUCCCCAGUGCCUCCU
rnacentral:tRNA from 1 species